AACGAACGCUGGCGGCAGGCUUAACACAUGCAAGUCGAACGCCCCGCAAGGGGAGUGGCAAACGGGUGAGUAACGCGUGGGAACAUACCCUUUCCUGCGGAAUAGCUCUGGGAAACUGGAAUUAAUACCGCAUACGCCCUACGGGGGAAAGAUUUAUCGGGGAAGGAUUGGCCCGCGUUGGAUUAGCUAGUUGGUGGGGUAAAGGCCUACCAAGGCGACGAUCCAUAGCUGGUCUGAGAGGAUGAUCAGCCACAUUGGGACUGAGACACGGCCCAAACUCCUACGGGAGGCAGCAGUGGGGAAUAUUGAACAAUGGGCGCAAGCCUGAUCCAGCCAUGCCGCGUGAGUGAUGAAGGCCUUAGGGUUGUAAAGCUCUUUCACCGAUGAAGAUAAUGACGGUAGUCGGAGAAGAAGCCCCGGCUAACUUCGUGCCAGCCGCCGCCGUAAAAC
rnacentral:rRNA from 1 species